AUUGAACGCUGGCGGCAGGCCUAACACAUGCAAGUCGGACGGUAGCACAGAGGAGCUUGCUCCUCGGGUGACGAGUGGCGGACGGGUGAGUAAUGUCUGGGGAUCUGCCCGAUAGAGGGGGAUAACCACUGGAAACGGUGGCUAAUACCGCAUAACGUCGCACGACCAAAGAGGGGGACCUUCGGGCCUCUCACUAUCGGAUGAACCCAGAUGGGAUUAGCUAGUAGGCGGGGUAAUGGCCCACCUAGGCGACGAUCCCUAGCUGGUCUGAGAGGAUGACUAGCCACACUGGAACUGAGACACGGUCCAGACUCCUACGGGAGGCAGCAGUGGGGAAUAUUGCACAAUGGGCGCAAGCCUGAUGCAGCCAUGCCGCGUGUAUGAAGAAGGCCUUCGGGUUGUAAAGUACCUUCAGCGGGGAGGAAGGCGGUGCGGUUAAUAACCGCGCCGAUUGACGUUACCCGCAGAAGAAGCACCGGCUAACUCCGUGCCAGCCGCCGCAGUAA
rnacentral:rRNA from 1 species